GGAAAUAAAACUCAGUGAUUUAACUAAACUACUCUCUUUUAAACAGGACCCUCCACUUUUCCACCAGUUUGUCCACCGGUGAAAAGGAGAAGCCAGCCAAGAACCAGCAGCUUCUGGCUACCUUGAUCAGAAGGUUGAUGAAGGCAAUGAAACAAAGAUGGAAAAACACAUCACACAGGCCCUUACCAGAUGCCAGCAUCUUGAUAUUGGACUUCCCAGCCUUCAGAACGAUAAGGCUCCAGUCAAGCAACCCACCUUAUCAAGUGGACCAGGCACAGCUCCUACUUAUCCCUGAGUAGUGGGUAUCAGUUUCCUGCUAACCUCGGAAUUGUUCAAAGCCCAUCACAUUCUCCUGCAGGAACCAGGGAGCACCUCACCCUCUUGUUGCUACAAAGCUUGCCACCCACAGCCCCUGCCUGUUCAGCAAUUACAAAGAUAUGCUAAUGCUCUGCACCAAGUGGCAGCUACAUGCUUGAGACCAACACUGAAAAUCAGUCAUGGAAUCACUGCAUAUCUGAACAAGGGCCACGAGAGGAGGCACAGAUGGGUCAACUGACUUGAGCAGAGCCACCCAGCAAAUUCAGCGUCGGAGUAUGCUUCCCUUGCCUGAGAAUCGUUACAAAGAGGAGCAUCUGAUGAGGAAAUGAGAACUCCAGCCAGAAACCAGCAAUAAAUUGAGGGCUCCUAUAUGAGCAAUGCAUUCUCCAGCCCCAAUCAAGCCUUUGGAUAACUGCAGCUCCUGCCAGCAUUUUGACUGCACUUCAUGAAACACUUUGAGUCAGAGCCACCUACCUAAGCCACUCCAAAAUUCCUGACCGUCAAAAACUUUGAGAUAAUAAAUGCUUGUUGUUUUAAACUA
rnacentral:lncRNA from 1 species